ACAGGUUUUGCCCAUGAUACGCCCAAGAUGGCCUUGGUAAACCAACAUUAUUUCACUAAGCUGGAACAUAUGAAAUACUGAUACUACAAAUCAUCCGGGAAACAGUACUAUGUCUUACAGGUUUGUCCAAAAGAUUCGCAAAGCCACUGUCAUUACAUACCCAUGUUCAGAGGCCGUGGUACUCCGCUCAUGCUGAAAUGGCAGUGGAUACAUACAUUAUGUAUUUAUUUACAGUAGACUAUUUCUGUCUUUUAUUGGUUUCAGCGUGAACGAUUACCCUGAAGACUACUCAUCCGAGUUGAAGAUGCUCCCCUCCUGGUGGUACGUAGCAUCGUCGUGUGCUUCUAGGUCACUGGCAUCAUAGACAAAACGACUUUCCAUAAGAUGCCAUUAAUUGAGGAUGAAACAUUCGAUUCUCAUACCAUAUUUGAAAGAAAAAAACGGCAACAAAACUGAAGAUGGCAGUCACUAGCUACAUAAAAGGAUACCGAAAGUAGCACCAACGUAUGAAAUGGGAAACAUGCACAACUAAGAAAUCAAAAGAUGAUUGAUUGUUAACAAACAUAACAUCUAUUCAACAUAAGAGCCAAUCAUUAAAUCACAAUACUACAUCCACAGCAGUCCCAUGGAAACAUGGACACCAAAUGUCAAUGGCAUGACCCAAUCCCUACCCCCAGAAGUAAGGAUAGAAAGGCGAACUGAGAUACUAUUCUCAGGCGUAGAGUCGAGUUUCCCUAAACCAAAGAUAACACAUAUUCAAUUAUAAUCUAAUAAUUCCAGUCCACGACCUUCUGUCCCUCUCAUCCUUGACACAUGGCUGGCUAACACACUCUGAACCACACCCACCAUCUUCAUAUGACAUUCGGUCCUUGGAUACUCACCAUCCCAGCAUGUCACGACAAAAGAUGCAAAGCGUGAUGAAACUUGAAGGACCCUAAUGCACAUCAUCAUGAAUUCAACAUGCCAGUAAAAGCACAUUCAAGCAUACGAGGUUGUGUAUAAAAAAGGAUGUGCUUCUUGCUGUAUUAUGAAAUGCUGUCGUAGAAUACUGCACACUAACUUACGAGCUAAUUAAGUAAUACAUGCACACUGGCUUGCAAAUUGCUACAGGAAUACAUGUACACUUACUUCCAAGUUGCUGCAAUCACAAAACCGCAAAGAAAGAAGGAAAACAUGACAUAGUACUGAUUAUUGUAUUGCCAACAUUUCAGGGAUCAGCUUAGCAGCUUGUCCAUUUAUAUGCUGCUAAAGAGACUGAUACAUAAACAUUUUAUUUACCAGGAUAACAUGUUGAAACCAAACAAGAAUAACAAGUCACUAGGGAGCAAAUGUACCUUUAGGCAGCAACUUUCACAUAGGUCACUGGCCCAUAGGAGCGCAUCAACACAUACUUGGAAAGAUCCAAACAGGUGACCUGAAAUCGGACCUUGCAGCUCCCUCUAAGUUCCCAGCAACAUAUCCAUCACAAGAUCCAUCAGCCAAGGAAUACUCGAACCACUUUCUUUUCGCAUCU
rnacentral:lncRNA from 1 species